AUGUUAUCUUAUGUCCAUUUCACACACACAUAUACAUAUUGAGACAGUGAUGUUGGCACUCCAUACACACAUUAACAACCAGACUGGCUGGACCUGAACUGUAUAUCAACUCUCAAUCCGUGUCGUUAUUUCAGUUUAUCUCAGAGUCAAACUAACCCACAUAACAUGGUGGCAGCUAAUUCAAGAACCCGUUGAGCAAUGUGAGGAACUUUGAAUCAUUUUUGGACUGUUUUUGGAGACAAUUUCAUAGCAGACUGUCAUUGGAUUCCACUGGUGCUUUUUCACUACAGUCCCAUAUGCAGACUUUCGUCUACCCAGCCCUUCUCUUGCUUUCCCAACACCAGUGGUUAUUAUGCAGAGAUGGAAAUCUUCACCACCACCAAUUGUAAUUCCGGUUCCUGGUUAUUCAGAGAUGGGGAAUCUUCACCACCACCAAUGGUAACUCAGGCUCUUGAUUAUCAUGCAGUGAUGGAGAAUAUUUACCACCACUAAUGGUAGCUUCGGUUCCUGGUUAUUAUGCAGAGAUGGAGAAUCUUCACAACCACCAAUGGUAACUCAGGCUCUUGAUUAUCAUGCAGUGAUGGAGAAUAUUUACCACCACUAAUGGUAGCUCUGGCUCCUGGUUAUAUUAUGCAGAGAUGGGGAAUCUUCACCGCCACCAAUGGUAACUCCGGUUCCUUGUUAUUAUGCAGAGAUGGAGAAUAUUCACCACCACCAAUGGUAGCUCCGGCUCCUGGUUAUUAUGCAGAGAUGGAGUAUCUCCACCGCCACCAAUGGUAACUCCGGUUCCUGGUUAUCAUGCAGAGAUGGAGAAUCUUCAGAAGUACAGAGAUGUUAUAGAAGAGGCAUGAAAAACUGCAGGUUGGAUGAAUCUAGGAUGAGCUGGUAGCUACAUGUAUCAACAAUCAACCAUUAAUUAGUAUGACCUUGAAAGAAACCCAGGCUGUUACAAGGAUCAGU